rnacentral:rRNA from 1 species
AACAAACGCUGGCGGCGUGGCCUAACACAUGGCAAGUCGUACGAGAAAGUCGGCUUCGGCCGAUGAGUACAGUGGCGCACGGGUGAGUAGCGCGUGGGUAAUCUGCCCCCCGGUCAGGAAUAACCCGCCGAAAGGCGGGCUAAUACCCGAUAACACUGACGCUCCGCGGAGCGUCUUCAAAGAAGGCCUCUGUUACAAGCUUUCGCCGGAGGAUGAGCCCGCGUACCAUUAGCUAGUUGGCAGGGUAAUGGCCUACCAAGGCUACGAUGGUUAGCUGGUCUGAGAGGAUGGCCAGCCACACUGGAACUGAGACACGGUCCAGACUCCUACGGGAGGCAGCAGUGAGGAAUCUUGCGCAAUGGGGGAAACCCUGACGCAGCAACGCCGCGUGAGUGAGGAAGGCCUUCGGGUCGUAAAGCUCUGUCAGAUGGGAAGAAAUGGAUGGGGGCUAAUAUCGCCCAUCCUUGACGGUACCAUCAGAGGAAGCACCGGCUAACUCCGUG